rnacentral:sRNA from 1 species
CCCUAGCCCUGAUGGCAGCGAAAAUCCUUUUUGCAGACGCUGAAACAAGUUCAGCGUUAGGGUGUCCCGGCAAAAAGAUUGCAGCGUACAGCAGGUUCCCGG